GACGAACGCCGGCGGCGUGCCUAAUACAUGCAAGUUGAGCGCUGAAGGUUGGUACUUGUACCGACUGGAUGAGCAGCGAACGGGUGAGUAACGCGUGGGGAAUCUGCCUUUGAGCGGGGGACAACAUUUGGAAACGAAUGCUAAUACCGCAUAAAAACUUUAAACACAAGUUUUAAGUUUGAAAGAUGCAAUUGCACCACUCAAAGAUGAUCCCGCGUUGUAUUAGCUAGUUGGUGAGGUAAAGGCUCACCAAGGCGAUGAUACAUAGCCGACCUGAGGGGGUGAUCGGCCACAUUGGGACUGAGACACGGCCCAAACUCCUACGGGAGGCAGCAGUAGGGAAUCUUCGGCAAUGGACGAAAGUCUGACCGAGCAACGCCGCGUGAGUGAAGAAGGUUUUCGGAUCGUAAAACUCUGUUGGUAGAGAAGAACGUUGGUGAGAGUGGAAAGCUCAUCAAGUGACGGUAACUACCCAGAAAGGGACGGCUAACUACGUGCCAGCCGCCGCAGUAA
rnacentral:rRNA from 1 species